UACGUAGGGUGCGAGCGUUAAUCGGAAUUACUGGGCGUAAAGCGUGCGCAGGCGGUUCGUUGUGUCUGAUGUGAAAGCCCCGGGCUUAACCUGGGAAUGGCAUUGGAAACUGGCGAGCUGGAGUGUGGCAGAGGGGGGUGGAAUUCCGCGUGUAGCAGUGAAAUGCGUAGAGAUGCGGAGGAACACCGAUGACGAAGGCAGCCCCCUGGGCCAACACUGACGCUCAGGCACGAAAGCGUGGGGAGCAAACAGG
rnacentral:rRNA from 1 species